rnacentral:rRNA from 1 species
UACGAAGGGUGCUAGCGUUGUUCGGAAUCACUGGGCGUAAAGCGCACGUAGGCGGAUGUGUCAGUCAGGGGUGAAAUCCCGGAGCUCAACUUCGGAACUGCCUUUGAUACAGCACGUCUUGAGUCCGGUAGAGGUGGGUGGAAUUCCUAGUGUGGCGGUGAAAUUCGUAGAUAUUAGGAAGAACACCGAUGGCGAAGGCGGCCCACUGGAUCGGUACUGACGCUGAGGAGCGAAAGCGUGGGGAGCGAACAGG